rnacentral:rRNA from 1 species
UACAUGGGGUGCAAACGUUGCUCGGAAUUACUGGGCGUAAAGCGUGCGCAGGCGGUGAUGUAAGACAGAUGUGAAAUCCCCGGGCUCAACCUGGGAACUGCAUUUGUGACUGCAUCGCUGGAGUGCGGCAGAGGGGGAUGGAAUUCCGCGUGUAGCAGUGAAAUGCGUAGAUAUGCGGAGGAACACCGAUGGCGAAGGCAAUCCCCUGGGCCUGCACUGACGCUCAUGCACGAAAGCGUGGGGAGCAAACAGG